rnacentral:rRNA from 1 species
GUAAAAUUAAUGAAUUAAGUAAUAAUAGAAAAAUUUUUAAAUUAAAAAUUAAUUAUUUUAAUUGGGGGUUAAAGUAUUUUAAUAGAAUAAAUUUAAAAAAUUAUAGUAAAUUAGUAUUGUGAAAGAAUUUUGAAAUAAAUGAAAAUAAAUUUAUUUUAAAGUAAUUUUUAUUUAGUGUAUCUUGUGUAUCAGAGUUUAUUUAGAAGAAUUAUAAGAAAAAAAAAAUCUCGAAUUUAAAAGAGAUAAUUAAUUAAAAAAGUUAUUGUAACAUAAAUAUUUUUAAUAAUUAAUUUGAAAUGAAAUGUUAAUCGUUUUUAAAUAUAUCUAGUUUUUUUAGAAAAAAAUUUAAUUUUAAAUUAAAUUUAAUUAAUUAAUUAAAUAAAUAAUUAGUUAUUUAAUUUAAUUUUAUAAUUUAAGGGAUAAGCUUUAAAUUAAAUAAAUAUAAUUAUUAAUUAAUAUGGUUUUUGAAAAUUAUAUAAUUUAUAUUGUUAAUAAAUUAUAAUUUAUUAUAAAUAAUUUCAUAAUUAAUAAAAUUUAAUAAAAAAUUUAUUUAUUUAUAAAAAAAUAAUUUAGAAAUAUUUUAAAUUAGAUAUAAUGAUAAAAUUAGUAUAUAGGUUUAAAAUAAAUAUUAUUUAGAUGUAAAUUAUUUUAAAGGAAUUCGGCAAUAAUUUAUAUUCACUUGUUUAUCAAAAACAUGUCUUUUUGAAAUAAUUUAAAGUCUAAUCUGCCCACUGAUAAUAUAUUAAAGGGCUGCAGUAUUUUGACUGUACAAAGGUAGCAUAAUCAUUAGUCAUUUAAUUGAUGACUUGUAUGAAGGAUUGGAUGAAAUAUGGACUGUCUCUAAAAUAAAAUAUAGAAUUUAAUUUUUAAAUUAAAAAGUUUAAAUAAAUUAAAAAGACGAGAAGACCCUAUAGAGUUUUAUAAAUAUUUAAAUUAAGUUUAUUUAUAAAUUAAUAAAAUUUUAAUUUGAUUAUUUAUUUUAUUGGGGUGAUAGAAAAAUAAGAAUAACUUUUUUUAAAAGAUUAACAUAAAUAAGUGAAAAUAUGAUCCAGUUUUAUUGAUUAUAAGAAAAAAUUACCUUAGGGAUAACAGCGUAAUUUUUUUUUUUAGUUCAAAUAAGAAAAAAAGUUUGCGACCUCGAUGUUGGAUUAAGAUAAAAGUUAAAUGCAGAAGUUUAAAAUUUUUGAUCUGUUCGAUCAUUAAAAUCUUACAUGAUCUGAGUUCAAACCGGUGUGAGCCAGGUUGGUUUCUAUCUUUUAAUAAUUAAAAUAUUUUAGUACGAAAGGAUUAAAUAUUUAAAUUAAAUUUAUAAGUUUGAAUUUUAUUAAAUAAUAUAUAUAUAUAUAUAUAAAUAAAUAAAUAAAUUUAUUUUUGAAUAGUGAAAUAAAUAAAAAUUUUAU